ACUCCUACGGGAGGCAGCAGUAGGGAAUCUUCCACAAUGGACGAAAGUCUGAUGGAGCAACGCCGCGUGUGUGAUGAAGGGUUUCGGCUCGUAAAACACUGUUGUAAGAGAAGAAUGACAUUGAGAGUAACUGUUCAGUGUGUGACGGUAUCUUACCAGAAAGGAACGGCUAAAUACGUGCCAGCAGCCGCGGUAAUA
rnacentral:rRNA from 1 species